GAGCGUUUAGCUCAAAUGGUAGAGCCCCCACUUCGCAUGCGGGAGGUAGGCGGAUCGAUCACCCCAGUGUUCC